rnacentral:lncRNA from 1 species
CCCUUCCAGCCCAUCCUGUUCUGAGGUUCUGUUACAUGAAUGCUGUUGUUUGUGGUGCUCAGUGCUGUCACGCUGUGGGAUCCAGCUGCUAGAAUCAGUCCUGCAGUCCCAACAAGCUGUGUGAGUAGGAGGAGCUCUGGGUUCAUGCAUGGUGGUACCCCACAGCACUACUGGACCCAGAGCAGAGCAUCAGGAAAGGCCUUGGGCUGCAGGGCAGGGCCUGUCCAGGAGCCACAGCGUUCUCUGAAUGAUGGUGAGGUGGAUUUUGUUGUUGUCUCCCCAGUUCUCUCAGUGCUGCAGCCCAGGUGAGGAUCCAAGGAGCGUGGCUCUGGUGCCCUCAGGCUGUUCCCAUGCAGCAGGUGGGAUUCAGGCUGAACUCUGUUGGCUGGGACACGGCUGCUCGGUUUCUGGUUCCUUUCUGUGCUGCCUCUGAGCACGUUGGAUGUCAGGAAACAUUUCCUCUAGGAAAAAGAGUUCUGGAAGUGCUGCCCAGGGAAGUGGGGGAGUCCCCAUUCCUGGAGAUGUGGCACUUUGGGACACGGUGGGAUGUGGUUGGAUUUGAUGAUGUUAGAGGUCUUUUCCAACCCGAAUGGGUUUGUGUUGGUCCUGCCCUGGGAUCACAGCUCGUGCGUGGCGUCGUUCAGGACGUGUCUGCAGAAGGUGCUCUGCAAUGAAGGCAUUGAUGUUGGUGGGAUGUUACAAAGGAGACCUCAGAACGGGUGAGCUCUGUUCUGCUGGCCUCAAGGUUUGUGUUUAAAGUUGGAAGUGUCAUCUGUAGGGCACAGAACGGUGCUCACUCGUGUUAUGUCAGUUUGGAUCUUGGCACAGCAGGGCUGGAGGUGUGAAGGGUCUGUGGGGUGUUUGGUUGCGUGCUGAGGACAGACAGACUGACUGACUGACUGACUGACUGACAGCUGAACGUGGCAAAGCUGAGGAGCUGCUGCUGCAGAGCCUCCCUGAGCAUCCAUCUGCUGCAGAAUGCACACCCACGUGUCUGUGAGCAGCUCUCUGACAUCGGGGGUCAGUCUGACAGCGUUUCCUUCCCUCUGGAUUUCCUGCACCCCCUCCCUGAAGGCAGCUUUUAGAUAAGGCUGGGAGGAAGGGCGCGCUGCUCCCCUCUGCCUGUGACUAAUUGCUGUACAGGUUGGGUCGGUCUCAGGGCUGCACCUCCCCGCCCCGCACAGCAUCGAGCUGCUGGGAGGGAGCUGCCCUCCAGCCCCCCAGGCAGGGCUGGGAAUGGGCUCUGUCCGUGCCCACCUCUGUGUGCUGUGGGGUUGGGGAGCGUGCCAGGACCCCAACAGCCUCGUGCCAUCACAGAAACUGAAAGCAUGCGGAGCUGCUGCGAGGCCGUAGAGGGGGCAGGAAAGGAAAUGGGGUGUGUGGGAGCCCGGCAUGGUGCCCCAUGGGGAGGGUGGGGCUCUGCAUGGAGCUGGUACCCAGCUCCCUGUGGGUAUUCAUCCCAUAGAACUGCCAUGGCUCGUGGUGUUCUGACAGUGGUUGAGCUGAGGUCUCUUGGUGCUCGCGGUUCUCUCUGUGCAGAGUGGUGGCUGCUGUCUGCCUGCUGUGGCUGGGGGGGGGCUCCGAUCUUCCCCAUGGUCUGUGUGGGUCUGGGAAGGAGCAGCAUAGGUUGAGAAUGUGUCUAGCAUUGAGCAAGGGCUCAUCGCUGGCUUUCUGUAUGGAGCACAGCUUGAGGCCUGGCCCCGCACUGGGUGGAGUUGCUAGCGGAUGUGCCAUGGGGUGGCUGUGGGGCGGCUGCUGCCAUCGUCCCGGGGGUGGCUGUGGGGCGGCUGCUGCUGCCAUCCCGGGGGUGGCUGUGGGGCGGCUGCUGCUGCCAUCCCGGGGGUGGCUGUGGGGCGGCUGCUGCCAUCAUCCCUGGGGUGGCUGUGGGGCGGCUGCUGCUGCCAUCGUCCCUGGGGUGGCUGUGGGGCUGCUGCUGUUGCAGGACAGCCGCUUGCUGCUGGCAGUGGGAUCUCACUGCGUGCUGCCGCGCGCGGCCCAGCCAAGUGAGUCAUCAUUUGACUCAGACGCAGCGGCCGCUCCACGCGCGUGGAAGCCCCAUCCAUUGAACCAACCUCCAGUGGUUGCUAACAGUGAGCUGGGUUUGCCACAUCCACGUCGGGGGGGGAAGGACGGCUCCGUGUGUGCGUGCACUGCUGCCUGUCUGACUGCAGCACCCCUGCGUGGGGGGCAGCCUGAGGGGUGCGCAGCCUGGAGGAGGGAAGGCUGAGAGGG